rnacentral:rRNA from 1 species
CACGUAGGGCGCGAGCGUUGUCCGGAAUUAUUGGGCGUAAAGAGCUCGUAGGCGGCCUGUUGCGUCCGCUGUGAAAGCCCCGGGGCUUAACCCCGGGUCGGCAGUGGAUACGGGCAGGCUAGAGGUAGGUAGGGGAGAAUGGAAUUCCCGGUGUAGCGGUGAAAUGCGCAGAUAUGGGAGGAACACCGGUGGCGAAGGCGGUCCA